UCCACGCUCUGGCAGUUUAUGUUCUUUUGCUGUUUGUAAUAAAUCUUGCUACUGCUGACUCUGUGGGUCCACACUUCUUUUAUGAGCUGUAACACUCAUCGCGAAGGUCUGCAGCUUUGUUCCUGAAGCCAGCAAGACCAGGAACCCGCGGGGAGGAAUGAACAACUCCAGACGCGCUGCCUUAAGAGCUGUAAUAUCGCGAAGGUCUGCAGCUUUACUCCUGAGCCAGCGAGACCACGAACCCACCAGAAGGGGAAAACUCCAAACACAUCCGAACAUCAGAAGGAAGAAACUCCGCCUUUAAAAACUGUAACACACACCGCGAGGGUCCGCAGCUUCAUUCUUGAAGUCAGUGAGACCAAGAACCCACCAGUUCCGGACACACUCACACACUUCGGUUUGGAAUUGUGAAAAGAGGAAGCAAAAUAACUUCACAAAUGCAUCAUGUCUCCUCCUCCAAAGGGUCAAGUGGAGUUUGCCUAUGAAUUGUGAGGAAAAGUUCUACCUAAAACAAAUGAUCUCAAGAGAGAGCCUUACAGGCAAAGUGAACCAUGCCUAAGAGGAUGUUCUAGGAGUAAAACGUGGGAACUUCAAGUACUUGCUGAUUACUAAUGUCCCAUCAAGGAAAAUGUGGAAGGAAAAGGUAAAGGGAGAUAAAGCACCAGUAGCCAGGGACAUUCCAUGGCCUCUUGAAGCAGCUUACUCUUGGUGGACCAGAGAUCAAGUAAUUAGUGUAAACGAGAUGACGUCAGAAUAAAUUACAAAGAGACUCAGCCCGCCUGCACUCAGGUGAAAUAAACAGCCUUGUUGCUCACACAAAGCCUGUUUGGUGGUCUCUUCACAAGGACUCGUGAGACACUUGGUGCCAAAGACCUGGGUCAGUGGGACUCCUUCGGGAGACCAGUCCCCUGUCCUCACCCUCACUCUGUGAAGAGAUCCACCUACGACCUUUGGUCCUCAGACCAACCAACCCAAGGAACAUCUCACCGAUUUUAAAUUGGGACCCCACUGGAAAUUGUACUGUCCAACACGCCAGGCAGCCACUCCCAGAGCCCCUGGAACUCUGGCCCAAGGCUCUCUGAUUGACUCUUUCCUGGAUCAUCUCAGCUUAGCAGCUGAAGACUGAUGCUGCCCGAUUGCCUCGGAAGCCUCCUGGACCAUCACAGACGCUUUGGACAACUCUUAUAGUGGAGGAAGAGAGUGUGAACACAGUUUACCACUGCCAAAGAUUAUGCAGUUGAGUUCUCCACAUUUGGGGAAAUUGCAGGGAUCAGCACAUCCAGAGUGCAACGGAUAAGCCUCACCCUGGGAUAACCACCUUUGAGAUGAUGGUAUUUCACCUCCUAGGUAAGUAUGAAAGUAUUCUUGAAUUAAUUAGUGGUGUAGAUUGCAUAACCUUGUGAACUUACC